rnacentral:rRNA from 1 species
UCCGCCCGCUGGCGGCGUGCUUAACACAUGCAAGUCGAACGGAAAGGCCCUGCUUUUGUGGGGUGCUCGAGUGGCGAACGGGUGAGUAACACGUGAGUAACCUGCCCUUGACUUUGGGAUAACUUCAGGAAACUGGGGCUAAUACCGGAUAGGAGCUCCUGCUGCAUGGUGGGGGUUGGAAAGUUUCGGCGGUUGGGGAUGGACUCGCGGCUUAUCAGCUUGUUGGUGGGGUAGUGGCUUACCAAGGCUUUGACGGGUAGCCGGCCUGAGAGGGUGACCGGCCACAUUGGGACUGAGAUACGGCCCAGACUCCUACGGGAGGCAGCAGUGGGGAAUAUUGCACAAUGGGCGGAAGCCUGAUGCAGCAACGCCGCGUGCGGGAUGACGGCCUUCGGGUUGUAAACCGCUUUCGCCUGUGACGAAGCGUGAGUGACGGUAAUGGGUAGAGAAGCACCGGCUAACUACGUG